rnacentral:tRNA from 1 species
GGUUUUUUAGUCAAAGUAUGAUAUUAAAUUGCAAAUUUAAAGUAAAGAUAAAUUAAAAACUU